CUGUGAUGCUGUCCCAUGGUCACAUUGUGACUGGAUGGCAUCCUGACAUGGUGGCAGAGUGAACUUUGAUUCUGUGACACAGUGGGUCUGUGACUCUACUGGGUCAGCUACAAGGUCCCAGGGAGGCUAUGGGCCAGAGCAGCUGGAACUCUGCUGGCUAGGCUUGCCCUUUGCCUCCUUCUAUUUCCUGGCCAUGUCAAACCUGCCCUAUCUCUGUUUCAGCCAUUCUAGUACCAUGGUACCAGCUUGAGGGGCAGUGAUGGCUCCUGGGCCUUGGUGGGAGGAGGCUGCUCUCUGACAAAUUGUCCAGGAGGCCAACCUGUGUCUCACUGCUGCUGGUCCCUUGUCACAGCAUCCUUACAGCCAUUCUGAGCUCUGCUGUCUGACUUGGGGGAGAUCCUGCCUAGGGUGAUUUGGGCUUGGCAGGGAGCGCAUGGUGGAAGAAUGUAGGAAGGCAGAAGAGUUUCUGUGUAGCUGUCUGGUAUGACCUUGGUGCCCUGGGUGAGGGCCUCCAGCUCCCUGCAGGAUGGGAAACUUGGCUUUGGAAUCCAGGAUUUUAGAACAGAAAACAUUUUGGCUACUGCAACAUCUUUGAUCCAAGACAGUGGUGUACAUGAGAGCACCUGUAACACCGUGAUGGCAUCUGAUGGAAGACUGAGAGGGCCUUGGAGGCAGGAAGGACCAGUGCAACUGUCCUUCUCUGCAGCAGCCUGUCUGGAACCUGGCUUUAUGUGAGCUCUGUGAUGGCUCUGGGCUCAAAACAAUCCCUGGUUUAAGUGCAGCAGAAUGGAGAGAAAGCCUCUGCGUGCCAGCUCCUCAAACAGUGAAACAGCUGUCAUAAAAUUCAACAUCCCACAACUAGGUAUGUACCUAAGAGAAUUGAGAACAUAGGUCCACAUAAAAACAUGUGCAUGAAUGUUCAUAGCAGUAUAAUGCAGAAUAGUCAAAAAGUAGAAGCA
rnacentral:lncRNA from 1 species